GUGAGGAAUAUUGGUCAAUGGGCGAGAGCCUGAACCAGCCAAGUAGCGUGCAGGAUGACGGCCCUAUGGGUUGUAAACUGCUUUUAUACGGGGAUAAAGUGAGGGACGUGUCCCUUUUUGUAGGUACCGUAUGAAUAAGGACCGGCUAAUUCCGUGCCAGCAGCCGCGGUAAUACGGAAGGUCCGGGCGUUAUCCGGAUUUAUUGGGUUUAAAGGGAGCGCAGGCCGGAGGUCAAGCGUGACGUGAAAUGUAGCCGCUCAACGGCUGAGUUGCGUCGCGAACUGGCUUUCUUGAGUGAGUACGACGUCAGCGGAAUUCGUGGUGUAGCGGUGAAAUGCUUAGAUAUCACGAAGAACCCCGAUUGCGAAGGCAGCUGACGAGUCCUUUACUGACGCUAAAGCUCGAAGGUGCGGGUAUCGAACAGG
rnacentral:rRNA from 1 species